rnacentral:rRNA from 1 species
UGCGAAUGCUGACAUAAGUAACGAUAAAGCGGGUGAAAAGCCCGCUCGCCGGAAGACCAAGGGUUCCUGUCCAACGUUAAUCGGGGCAGGGUGAGUCGACCCCUAAGGCGAGGCCGAAAGGCGUAGUCGAUGGGAAACAGGUUAAUAUUCCUGUACUUGGUGUUACUGCGAAGGGGGGACGGAGAAGGCUAUGUUAGCCGGGCGACGGUUGUCCCGGUUUAAGCAUGUAGGCUGGUUAUCCAGGCAAAUCCGGAUAAUC